rnacentral:misc_RNA from 1 species
UUUUACUUACCAUUAAUGCUAUAUGUAACCAAAGAACUUCUAAAUUUAAUGGAUUUCAAAUCUUAGAGAUGAACUAAUGUAAUUUUUAAAAUUAAGCGACUGACUAGCAAAUUCUAAGAACUAAAUAAUAAUUUAGUAAUUCUCCCUCACCCGAGUGUUGCCGCCAAAGCUCGCAAACAAGGGCAGAUUGGCACGAUUUCAUCCAGGCUCGCCAGAUUGGCAUGAUUUUAUCAAGACUCGCCAUCGUAUUUUGCAUAUUGGGGGCGAAAAAUCCACAUACCACACCCAUUUUACGCAUUGCCUAUGAAUGCACGCAUACAAAGAGCAAGCAACUGCAAGCAGAAUCUCCCACAUAACCAGAAAACUUAUGAUACAUAAUUAACAUUCUUACAUGGACACCAACUAGCUUUUUUACAGCAGGAUUGACAACCCACUUUUAUUACUUCAUGAUGACAGUAUAACAUACGAUAAACAAGGCUUACAAGCUAACAAGUUUCAGAGAGUUUGCCUUCUCUUGGAGGGUAUCGAGCAAACUGUCAAAGCUCUUCUUGAAAGAGUCCACUCCUUCAACCUCAAGCUGAUUCCCUACAUAGCUCCAAUCAAUUCCCAACUUCUCAAGUGCACUGUAAAUUCCUUCAGCUUCAGAUACAUUUGAGUCGAUUGUUCUCCCAACACUUCCGUGAUCAAUAAAUGCUUGGAGAGCUUGGUCGGGCAUAGUCGAAACUGUGUCAGGUCCAAUGAGGGGCGCAACAUAUAAAGUAUCAGGGUAGGCAGGGUUCUUGACACUGGUUGAAGCCCACAGUAGCCUCUGCUUCUUGGCACCCUUUUUCACCAGAGCCUCCCAUCUUGGACCAGAGAAUUUCUUCUGGUAGAGCUGGUAUGCCAGAGCUGCUUGAGCAACUGCAGCCUUCCCUCGAAGAUCAAGGGCUUCUGGAGUUCCAAUUUUUUCUAGCAUUUUGUCAAUAAGAGUGUCUACCCUGCUGACAAAGAAUGAAGCAACACUAGUUACUCUGGAGAGGUCACUCAGUCCAGAAGCCUCAAGGCCAUCCAAGUAGGCAUCAAUGACAGCUUCAUAUCUUUCAAGAGAGAAUAUAAGAGUCACAUUGACGCUAAUGCCAUUUGAAAUAACUUCCUUGAUCGAGGGAAUGCAUGGAGCUGUAGCAGGAAUCUUAAUGUAUACAUUGGGGCGAUCAACCACCUUAUGAAGCCAUUUUGCAGCCUCAACUGUCCCUUUAGUAUCAUCAGCUAGUCUGGGAGAAACUUCAACAGAAACGUAGCCAUCGCCACCAUCUGUUUUAUCAUAAAUUGGCUCAAAAAGCUUGCAUGCAUCUUGAAUGUCCUUCACCACAAGCUCCCAAUAGGCACUUUCAAUGUCUUUCCCUGAUUGUACAAGUUCCCUGAAUUGAUCAUUAUAUGCGUUUGAUGAUGAUAUUGCUUUCUGGAAAAUCGCUGGGUUGCUAGUUACACCCCUUACACCACUCUCGAUCAGAGGAAUCAAAUCGGUCACAGGCCGACAAAGGUUAUCAUACCAUGGACUCUGGCCCUCUCGCUCAUAGAGAUCAUGAAGAGUUGUUUUCUUUAGCGGACUACCAUUUCCAGUGGACUGAACACACCUAACAACCAAGAAGCGGGUCAUAGGCUGCCUACUUCGAACGGACAACUUAGACGAUGCAGCUCUGGCAAGGAAAGACGCCUUGGCACGGAAAUCGACGAAGCACACAGGUGCAGAAGAUCUGGACGUGAAGGAAAAAGAAGGAGAUAGAGAGGCAGCAGGGCUAGAAUUUGCGAGCUUGGAAAUCGUAGCCAUGGAGGCGAUUGGGAUCAAAGAGAGAGAGAGAUGAGAGAGAGAGAUCUCGUGUUGGGUAGGCGAUGGAGGAGAGAAUUUUCUUCUUACGAUACGAUACCAACAAUAAAAGCAAAAGGGUCUCUAAAGAGAAGGUGCGUUAAAGUGAAUUGUUAUAGGCAGCGCGUAGAUGGUCAAAGCCAGAGGUAGGAAGUAGGCACAACUAAUUAGUGGCAAUUAUUUUUAAUUUUUAUACACUUACAUAGCUAUAUAAACAGUCAAUUCGAUUUUCAAUUCAAUGAGAUUACAAUAAUUAAAGAGCUGAAUAACUCUUAAAUGAAAACUAAAGAUGAUAGAAAUUGAAUUGAAUAUUGCAGAGAAAGAAUUU